GAUGAACGCUAGCUACAGGCUUAACACAUGCAAGUCGCGGGGCAGCAUGGGGGUUGCUUGCAAUCCCCGAUGGCGACCGGCGCACGGGUGAGUAACGCGUAUCCAACCUGCCCUUCACCACGGGAUAACCCGGCGAAAGUCGGACUAAUACCGUAUGUUGUCCAUUGACGGCAUCCGAUUUGGACGAAAGGUUUGGCGGUGAAGGAUGGGGAUGCGUCCGAUUAGCUGGACGGCGGGGUGACGGCCCACCGUGGCGACGAUCGGUAGGGGUUCUGAGAGGAAGGUCCCCCACACUGGAACUGAGACACGGCCCAGACUCCUACGGGAGGCAGCAGUGAGGAAUAUUAGUCAAUGGGCGUAAGCCUGAACCAGCCAAGUAGCGUGCAGGAUGACGGCCCUAUGGGUUGUAAACUGCUUUUAUGCGGGGAUAAAGUGGCCCACGUGUGGGUUUUUGCAGGUACCGCAUGAAUAAGGACCGGCUAAUUCCGUG
rnacentral:rRNA from 1 species